GCCUUCGUGGUGUAACGGUAGCACACUCGGCGCGUAAUCGAGAAGUCCAGGUUCGAGUCUCGGAAGGCA
rfam:Stegodyphus mimosarum contig86163, whole genome shotgun sequence.